rnacentral:rRNA from 1 species
GACGAACGCUGGCGGCGUGCUUAACACAUGCAUUUCGAACGGAAAGGCCCUGCUUUUGUGGGGUGCUCGAGUGGCGAACGGGUGAGUAACACGUGAGUAACCUGCCCUUGACUUUGGGAUAACUUCAGGAAACUGGGGCUAAUACCGGAUAGGAGCUCCUGCUGCAUGGUGGGGGUUGGAAAGUUCCGGCGGUUGGGGAUGGACUCGCGGCUUAUCAGCUUGUUGGUGGGGUAGUGGCUUACCAAGGCUUUGACGGGUAGCCGGCCUGAGAGGGUGACCGGCCACAUUGGGACUGAGAUACGGCCCAGACUCCUACGGGAGGCAGCAGUGGGGAAUAUUGCACAAUGGGCGGAAGCCUGAUGCAGCAACGCCGCGUGCGGGAUGACGGCCUUCGGGUUGUAAACCGCUUUCGCCUGUGACGAAGCGUGAGUGACGGUAAUGGGUAAAGAAGCACCGGCUAACUACGUGCCAGCAGCCGCGGUGAUACGUAGGGUGCGAGCGUUGUCCGGAUUUAUUGGGCGUAAAGGGCUCGUAGGUGGUUGAUCGCGUCGGAAGUGUAAUCUUGGGGCUUAACCCUGAGCGUGCUUUCGAUACGGGUUGACUUGAGGAAGGUAGGGGAGAAUGGAAUUCCUGGUGGAGCGGUGGAAUGCGCAGAUAUCAGGAGGAACACCAGUGGCGAAGGCGGUUCUCUGGGCCUUUCCUGACGCUGAGGAGCGAAAGCGUGGGGAGCGAACAGGCUUAGAUACCCUGGUAGUCCACGCUGUAAACGGUGGGUACUAGGUGUGGGGUCCAUUCCACGGGUUCCGUGCCGUAGCUAACGCUUUAAGUACCCCGCCUGGGGAGUACGGCCGCAAGGCUAAAACUCAAAGGAAUUGACGGGGCCCCGCACAAGCGGCGGAGCAUGCGGAUUAAUUCGAUGCAACGCGUAGAACCUUACCUGGGUUUGACAUGGAUCGGGAGUGCUCAGAGAUGGGUGUGCCUCUUUUGGGGUCGGUUCACAGGUGGUGCAUGGCUGUCGUCAGCUCGUGUCGUGAGAUGUUGGGUUAAGUCCCGCAACGAGCGCAACCCUUGUUCACUGUUGCCAGCACGUUAUGGUGGGGACUCAGUGGAGACCGCCGGGGUCAACUCGGAGGAAGGUGGGGAUGACGUCAAGUCACCAUGCCCCUUAUGUCCAGGGCUUCACGCAUGCUACAAUGGCUGGUACAGAGAGUGGCGAGCCUGUGAGGGUGAGCGAAUCUCGGAAAGCCGGUCUCAGUUCGGAUUGGGGUCUGCAACUCGACCUCAUGAAGUCGGAGUCGCUAGUAAUCGCAGAUCAGCAACGCUGCGGUGAAUACGUUCCCGGG